UGGGGAAUUUUGCACAAUGGGGGAAACCCUGAUGCAGCGACGCCGCGUGAUUUAGAAGGCCUUCGGGUUGUAAAAAUCUAUUCUAUGGGAAGAAAAUGACAGUACCAUAGGAAUAAGGACCGGCUAAUUACGUGCCAGCAGCCGCGGUAAUACGUAAGGUCCGAGCGUUGUCCGGAAUCAUUGGGCGUAAAGGGUACGUAGGCGGGUAAGCAAGUUAGAAGUGAAAUCCUAUAGCUCAACUAUAGUAAGCUUUUAAAACUGCUCAUCUUGAGGUAUGGAAGGGAAAGUGGAAUUCCUAGUGUAGCGGUGAAAUGCGCAGAUAUUAGGAGGAAUACCGGUGGCGAAGGCGACUUUCUGGCCAUAACCUGACGCUGAGGUACGAAAGCGUGGGUAGCAAACAGG
rnacentral:rRNA from 1 species